GGAGUUAGCCGGUGCUUCUUCUGUGAGUGAUGUCCUUCCUGCCGGCUAUUAACCCGCAGGCCUUCUUCCUCACUGAAAGUGCUUUACAACCCGAAGGCCUUCUUCACACACGCGGCAUGGCUGGAUCAGGGUUGCCCCCAUUGUCCAAUAUUCCCCACUGCUGCCUCCCGUAGGAGUCUGGGCCGUGUCUCAGUCCCAGUGUGGCUGAUCAUCCUCUCAGACCAGCUACGGAUCGUCGCCUUGGUGAGCCGUUACCUCACCAACCAGCUAAUCCGACAUAGGCUCAUCCGAUAGCGCGAGUCCCGAAGGUCCCCCGCUUUCCCCCGUAGGGCGUAUGCGGUAUUAGCCUGGGUUUCCCCCAGGUUAUCCCCCACUACCGGGCAGAUUCCUAUGCAUUACUCACCCGUCCGCCGCUCGCCACCAGGGAGCAAGCUCCCCGUGCUGCCGCUCGACUUGCAUGUGUUAGGCCUGCCGCCAGCGUUCAAUCUGAGCCAGGAUCAAACUCUGA
rnacentral:rRNA from 1 species